rnacentral:rRNA from 1 species
AACGAACGCUGGCGGCGCGUCUUAAGCAUGCAAGUCGGACGGCAGGGGUAGCAAUACCCCUAGAGUGGCGGACUGGUGAGUAACGCGUGGGUGACCUACCCUCGAGAUGGGGAUAGCCAUUAGAAAUAGUGGAUAACACCGACUACGCUCGUGACCCUGUGGGGAUACGAGGAAAUCAGGCUACGGCCUGGCUCGAGGAUGGGCCCGCGUCCCAUUAGCUAGUUGGUGAGGUAACGGCCCACCAAGGCGACGAUGGGUAUCCGGGCUGAGAGGGUGUACGGACACAUUGGGACUGAGAUACGGCCCAAACUCCUACGGGAGGCAGCAGCUAAGAAUAUUCCGCAAUGGACGAAAGUCUGACGGAGCGACGCCGCGUGGAUGAAGAAGGCCGAAAGGUUGUAAAAUCCUUUUGCUGAUGAAGAAUAAGUGGUGUAGGGAAUGACAUCAUGAUGACAUUAGUCGGUGAAUAAGCCCCGGCUAACUACGUGCCAGCCGCCGCAGUAA